UAUUGAUAGUACCUUACUACAUGGAUAACCGUGGUAAUUCUAGAGCUAAUACAUGCCAAAAACCCCGACUCACGAAGGGGUGUAUUUAUUAGAUAAAAAACCGACGCCCUUCGGGGCUCACCGGUGAUUCAUGAUAACUUCGCGAAUCGCAUGGCCUUGCGCCGGCGAUGGUUCAUUCAAAUUUCUGCCCUAUCAACUUUCGAUGGUAGGAUAGUGGCCUACCAUGGUGUCGACGGGUGACGGGGAAUUAGGGUUCGAUUCCGGAGAGGGAGCCUGAGAAACGGCUACCACAUCCAAGGAAGGCAGCAGGCGCGCAAAUUACCCAAUCCCGACACGGGGAGGUAGUGACAAUAAAUACCGAUGCAGGGCUCUUAUGGGUCUUGUAAUUGGAAUGAGUACAAUUUAAAUCCCUUAACGAGGAACAAUUAGAGGGCAAGUCUGGUGCCAGCAGCCGCGGUAAUUCCAGCUCUAAUAGCGUAUAUUAAAGUUGUUGCAGUUAAAAAGCUCGUAGUUGAACCUUGGGCCUGGCUGGCCGGUCCGCCUCACCGCGUGCACUGGUCCGGCCGGGCCUUUCCUUCUGGGGAUCCGCAUGCCCUUCACUGGGCGUGUCGGGGAACCAGGACUUUUACUUUGAAAAAAUUAGAGUGUUCAAAGCAGGCCUUUGCUCGAAUACAUUAGCAUGGAAUAAUAGAAUAGGACGAGCGGUCCUAUUUUGUUGGUUUCUAGGACCGCCGUAAUGAUUAAUAGGGAUAGUCGGGGGCAUCGGUAUUCAGUUGUCAGAGGUGAAAUUCUUGGAUUUACUGAAGACCAACUACUGCGAAAGCAUUUGCCAAGGAUGUUUUCAUUAAUCAGUGAACGAAAGUUAGGGGAUCGAAGACGAUCAGAUACCGUCGUAGUCUUAACCAUAAACCAUGCC
rnacentral:rRNA from 1 species